AAAAUUUAGGGCUUUGAGGUUUCUUGUUCAAAUCUUCUCAUUUAGGGUCAUAAUUCUCAAAGGCAAGUGUUCUAAUCCCAUCCUACAGAAUUAUUAGUCUUUGAUCUCAUAUUUAUUCUGAAUUAUUCGAAAGAUUUCAGCCUAGAACCUGAUAUUUCUCUUGUUAGAUACAAAAAUCAUGGAUCUGAAAUUUUUCGGUAAACUGACCCCUAUACAUUGUUUCAGUCAUAAUUUUUAGCACCAAACAUGGAUUUAGGCAGGACCUUGUUUAUUUGAAAGUACACUCUUAUACCUUCCUUCUGACACUGAUUUUGAAAAUUUGGACUCCGAAUACUAACCCAAACGUCUGUUUCAAUUGAGCCUAUGGAUGCUGUAAAACAGGGAUCAAAAUUUCUGACAUUUCGAUACUAAAAUACCUAUAAGUCCCUGUUGGAAAUUCUGAUUUGUACCAAACUGAUUUCAUUUGAAACUAAACUUGUAAACCUUUCUUUUGAUAUAUAGAUUGAAAAUUUUGGAACUCAAAUGCCUAUUCUGCUAUCUAUUGAUUCUGCCUUAUGGAUUCUGCAAAACAGUGAUUUAGUUUUUUGACCUUCGGUCACUAAAUCGAUGGUAACUCCUUGUUGGAAACCUUGAUUCAUAUGAAACUUAUUUCAUCAGAAAAUAGAUUGAUAUAUCUUUUGAUAGUAGCUUUCUUAAGGGUAUUGGAGUAUAAUUGAUAAUCUGAAGUAUUUGUUCAAUGUGCCUCUUGAAUCCUGACAGAAAUUGAGCUUUGGUCGAUUUCGCGUAUUCUGUUUCAUUCAUUUGGAAAUAGAUUCCAUUCAGUCUCCUUCAGUCAAUUGAGGCUUAUGUUAGUGCUUGAAUUCUGGUUUGCUCUUGCCUAUAAAUUAUUUACAUUCUUGUAACAUUUUUGUGUAACGUUUAUGCUAUAUCGCAUUGACACAUAUAGGCACAUGUAUAUCCCAUUGUUCCGCAUUUGCUUUCGAUAUGUGCCUAUUCUAGUUUCAUUCCUUUGGAUAUUGAAUUCAUCUAACUUUCUUAAUUGAAUUGAGCUACAUAUGAUUGCUUGGAAUCCUGGUGUACUCUUCCUUUCAUUUCAUUCCAAAUCUGAAUACAUUUGUGAGAGAUUGUUGCUUGCAUCGUAUUGACUCGUAAAGGCACAUGUACGUUUUGUUGUUCCACGUGUGCUUCUGAUAUAUGCUAUUUAUUGUUCAUACUGCCCUUUUGUACUAUGGUGUUGUGGGAUAAUAUGAACCUUUGCCAGAAAUGGUAAAGGGAGUUAUGCAUAGAGCCUGCGAUGCUCUGCCGGCCCUCUCUGACUUCACCUAGACGUGGGUGGAUGUAGCUCCCAAACAUGGGAGACUUAUGUCUGGUGGUCAUUCAGAAAUGGAUGAAUCACAUUCUGUCUGUGGUCCCACUACACCUUCUGUAUGUUUGAUAUGAUAUCCAGAGCUUUGGUUAUGUGUUUCUGUACAUGCUUUGGAUAAGAAUGAUAUGAAUGCAACGUCAAAGACGACGUUUGAGCUUCUGUUUGGUAUUUGUUAUUGAUAUGCUCCGAAAUAUUCCAUACGCCAUUGAUAUGCUCCGAAACAUUUCAUACGCCACUAAUAAGCUCCGAAACAUUUCAUUUGUUAUUUAUAUGCUCCGAAAUGUUUCAUUCAUCGUUGAUAUGCUUCUAAAUGUUCCGUACACCGUUGUUAUGCUCCGGAACAUUUUAUACACCAUUGAUAAGCUCCGAAAUGUUUCAUUCAUUUUUGAUAUGCUUCAAAAUGUUCCAUAUGCCAUUGAUAUGCUCCGGAACAUUUCAUACGCCAUUGAUAAGCUUCGAAAUGUUUCAUUCAUUGUUGAUAUGCUUCCAAAUGUUUCAUACGCCGUUGAUAUGCUUCAGAACAUUUCAUACGUCAUUGAUAAGCUCCGAAAUGUUUCAUUUGUUAUUGAUAUGCUCCGAAACGUUUCAUUCUUUGUUGAUAUGUGCCAAUUACUCUAUGCUCCAUCUAUUAUGAACCAAAUAUGUUUGAUUAAAAUGUCAUUUGUGAUUUUGCAUCUAAUGAUAUUACGUCUAUGAAUUCUUAUAUUCUGCCUUGCAAUUUGAAACUUUAUCUCUUUGGAAAUUGUCCUCUUUUGACAUGGAUAUGUUAGUCACUUGCUGAGCUUUAUAUGCUCCCCCCGUUGUUGUAUAAAUUUUUCAGGAUAGCUUGUCGCUUGCUUAAAUGUUAAGAUUGGGCUAAGGCAGUGGAAAGCUAAAAGAUUUUGGGCAGAUCUUUAUUAGUAUAUAUGUUUUUGUUGUAUAAGUACACUCUGCAUCUAAUGAAAUGUUGACGAUGAAUCAAAACUUGUGGAUGUUGUAUAAGUUUAAAGGACCUCUCAUGUUUAGGAUUUUGGAAUGUUAAGUUUAAUUCAUGUAACGAUAUGAACUUAUGGUAAACGUUGGUUUUGUGACUGUAUAGACUCCCACACUUGUGAAUUUAUGUUGUGGUUAUUAAUUUGGUGAGUUGGGUUCAGAUUUUAUGAAUCUUCGAGCAAUGUGUUGUAUGUUUAUGAACUGCACAGGGUUUAUAAAUUUGUAGAUUAUAGAGGUGAAAUUUUGACUUGAAUGUUUUCUUAGUGACCUCAAAUGUUAGUUUGGAUCCUGGAUUGAUUUGUUUUCUUAAAUUUUAAUAUCAUGGAUAAUUUUUUUUUUAGGGGCGUGACAGAGGUGGUACCAGAGCAUGGUUUGAGGAUCACUAAAAUAUUUGAUAUGUUGAUGUGCAAAAUAUAUUGAGGUCUAGUGAACUAUAGUGAUUGGUGAAAAUUUUCUUUGAUGCAUUUUAGGAAUCUAGGAUAAUGAGGCAAUUUGGUCCUCCUAUUUCAAUUGUUUAUGAUUAAUUAAGUGGGAUGAAAGGGUUGAUCGGGGAUAUCAUAUCAGAGUAGCACAGCAAAAGCGUGGUGAACCUAAUUUCGUUAGUGGUAGAAAAAUGGAUGAUGCGAAUGGAAAAGAUAUUUGAUGUUCAAAAUUGUUUCAAUGAUUAAAAUAUUUAUUUUGCCACCUUAUAUUGGAAGUAGAGGCUGAUCAUUAAUGGGAACAAUGAAAAUAAUUUUUGUAGAUCAAUGACAAGAAAGACAAGGACAAGUUUACCAAUAAAAAUAUGAUUAGAAAUGAAUCAGAAAGUGAUAACAAGAGGGUCAAGACAUUUGGAUUUGAAAAGGAAGUCACCACGAAAGAUUCAAUCACGUGUGAAUUACAAGUUAAAUUAUGAAACAAAUUUGUGUUUUCGGGUGACUGGAGUCUAUUUGCUUGUAGAAAGUUGGAUCAUAAAAUAAAAGACUGCCCUUUGAAUAAGAAGAAAGAGUCACUGCCUCUUAAAUCAUCAGCCCAUGUCAGAGUGUAUGCUAUCCGUAAAUAUGAUUCUAAAACUUCUGAAUUAGUGUUUGACCAUGGGUCCUAUCUACGAUUUGAUUUGUAACAUGUUGCUUAUCACUUGGGUAUUCAACCUAGACCACUACAUUAUGUGGUAUAUGUAAAAUACAAUCAUGGGAGAUUCUUUGAUAACUAACUUGAAUCUGGUCCUCUUGUCUGAUUUUAUUGGAGAACAUGAACUUUUUGCUGAUUUAGUUCUCAUAAAGAUUUGGAGUUUGAUAUUAUACUUGGCAUGGAUUGGUUAUCUUCUCAUCACGCUAGUAUUGAUUGUUACAAAAAAAUAAUUACUUUCUGCAUACCAGAUCAGCCUAUAUUUUACUUUGAGGGCAUUAGGCAUGAUUUGCCUCCUUGCUUGAUAUCAGCACUUCAAGCUUAUCAUCUUAUGCAGAAGGGUUGUUUUUGUUAUAAGGUGUGUGUAAAGGAGCAUUCAAAUCAGGAAACCCACCUAGAUGAAAUUUCAGUGGUCAAAGAGUUCCCUGAUGUAUUCCCAGAUGACUUGCCUGGUUUACCUCUAGAUAGAGAGGGUGAAUUUGCUAUUGAUCUGGUCCCCAGUACAACCCCAAUAUCUAAGCCUCCCUACAGAAUGGCACUACUCGAGCUAGAGGAAUUAAAGAAGCAACUACAAGAAUUAUUAGAUAAGGGUUUCAUACGACCCAGCGUAUCUCCAUGGGGUGCUCCGGUACUAUUAAUGAAGAAGAAGGAUGGAACAUUGAGGCUUUGUAUUGAUUAUAGACUGUUGAAUCAGGUGACCAUCAAAAACAAGUAUCCCAUACCCAGAAUUGAUGAUUUGUUUGAUCAACUACAGGGUGCACAAGUAUUCUCUAAGAUUGACCUGAGGUCAGGUUACUAUCAAUUGAAGAUCAAGGAGGAGAAUAUUCCAAAAACAGUUUUCAGAACUUGAUAUGGUCGGUGAUGCCUUUUGGUUUGACUAAUGCCCCUGCAGCUUUUAUGGAACUAAUGAAUAGGAUAUUUCAACCGCUCUUGGAUGGCUAUGUAAUUGUAUUUAUUGAUGACAUAUUGGUGUAUUCAAAGAGUAAUCAGGAGCAUGAGGAACACUUGAGAAAUGUAUUGUCUAUACUAAGAGAAAAGAAGUUAUAUGCAAAGUUCAACAAAUGUGAAUUGUGGUUGAAUGAAGUUGCUUUCUAAGGCCAUGUGAUUUCAGGGAAGGGUAUAUCUAUUGAUCCAAAGAAAAUAGAAGCUGUAGUUGAAUGAGAAGUACCAACAAAUGUAAUAGAAAUUAGAAGCUUCUUGGGCAUGGCAGGUUAUUACAGGAGAUUUGUGGAGGGAUUUUCUCAAAUCGCUCAACCUCUCACCAAACUCACUAAAAAGAAUGUGAAAUUUGUAUGGGGUGAUGAUUGUGAGCAAAGUUUUCAAGAGUUAAAAAGAAGAUUGACUAGUGCUCCUAUUCUCACUAUUCCAAGUGGUAGUGAGGGAUUUGUAGUUUAUACUGAUGCUUCAAGAAAGGGCCUCGGAUGUGUUUUAAUGCAGGAAGGGAGAGUGAUUGCUUAUGCUUCUAGACAACUAAAAGGUUAUGAACUGAAUUAUCCAAUUCAUGAUUUGGAAUUGGCAGCAAUUGGUUUUGCUCUAAAGAUUUGGAGACAUUAUUUGUAUGGUCGGCAAUUUAAAAUUUUGAUUGAUCACAAGAGUUUGAAAUAUAUUUUCACUCAGAAAGACUUAAACAUGAGGCAGCGAAGAUGGAUAGAACUUCUAAAGGAUUAUGAUUGUGCCAUCCAUUAUCACCCGGGCAAAGCCAAUGUGGUAGCUGAUGCUCUUAGUAGAAAAUCUACAUGUUUUAUGGCUAGUCUAGUCGUGAAGCAAUGAAAGUUAUUAGAAGAAAAUUUUGAUUUGAAUGCUAUGAGGAAAGAGCAAGAUCAAUGAUAUUGAUGGCCUCCAUUCAGGUGCAAUCUGAUCUUAUUCAACAAAUUAAGGAAGGACAAUUACGAGAUCCACGUUUAAUCUACUUGAGGAAUGAAGUAGAAAAGGAAUUGAAGCCAAAAUUUCAAGUUUCAAAGGAUUGCCUAUUGAGAUUUGGGGAUAGAGUAUGUGUACCUAAUGAACCAGAUAUCAAGAACCAAAUCCUAAAGGAAAGUUAAGCCCAAGAUUGGGUUGGUUCUGUCGCUUACAGGAUUGCCUUACCACCAUCAUUGUGCCUUAUCCAUAAUAUAUUUCAUGUUUCGAUGAUUAUAGAGUAUAUACAUGAUCCUUCUCAUAUCAUUAAGUAUGAGCUGAUGGAGAUCGAUAAAGAUUUAUCUUAUGUGGAAGAGCCCACUCGGAUUAUUGAUAAGAAGGAAAAGAUCCUAAGGAAUCGGGUCAUCCCUAUGGUUAAAGAAAUUUGAAGAUAUCAUUCUGGAGAGGAAACAACCUGGGAGCUAGAGGAGGAAAUGAAAAUGGUGUAUCCCAAUCUUUUCAUUGAUAGAGGUAUGAUAAAUUUAGAGGACUAAAUUUUUCUUUUAUGGGGGGAGAGUGUAACAUCCCUCAUUUUUGAAUUUUCGUAUAAGUUUCCAGUUGUAAUAUAAGUAUCUAUUUUAAAUUUGAUAAAAGAGCCAAAAUAUGAAUAACUUAUUCAUAAGAUUUGGGAGAUUUUUUCAAAAAGAAAAAAAAAUCUGAGGACCUAUAUGUAAACCCUAAGGACCUAAUUGUAAAUAUAAUAAUAUAAGGACUAAACUGUAAAAUGCACAAAAAUACAAAUCCCACCAUGGAAGAACAGGAGAAAGAAAGAAAGAAGAAGAGAAGAAAAUGGGGGAAGAAGAAGAAGAAAAAAAUUUGGGGCUUUGAGGUUUCUUGCUCAAAUCUUCUCAUUUAGGGUCAUAAUUCUCAAAGGCAAGUGUUCUAAUCCCAUCCUACAGAAUUAUUAGUCUUUGAUCUCAUAUUUAUUCUGAAUUAUUCGAAAGAUUUCAGCAUAGAACCUGAUAUUUCUCUUGUUAGAUACAAAAAUCAUGGAUCUGAAAUUUUUCGGUAAACUGACCCCUAU
rnacentral:lncRNA from 1 species